AGAGUGAACGCUGGCGGCAGGCCUAACACAUGCAAGUCGAGCGGCAGCGCGGGGCAACCUGGCGGCGAGCGGCGGACGGGUGAGGAAUGCAUCGGAAUCUACCCUGUCGUGGGGGACAACGUAGGGAAACUUACGCUAAUACCGCAUACGACCGAGAGGUGAAAGUGGGGGACCGCAAGGCCUCACGCGAUUGGAUGAGCCGAUGCCGGAUUAGCUAGUUGGUGUGGUAAAGGCCCACCAAGGCGACGAUCCGUAGCUGGUCUGAGAGGAUGAUCAGCCACAUUGGGGACUGAGACACGGCCCAAACUCCUACGGGAGGCAGCAGUGGGGAAUAUUGGACAAUGGGCGCAAGCCUGAUCCAGCCAUGCCGCGUGUGUGAAGAAGGCCUUCGGGUUGUAAAGCACGUUUCGUUCGGGAAGAAAUCGUGCGGUUAAUACCCAGUACGGAUGACGGUACCGAAAGAAUAAGCACCGGCUAACGUUCGUGACCAACAGCCGCGGUAAU
rnacentral:rRNA from 1 species